rnacentral:lncRNA from 10 species
AGUUUUAGGCACUGGUGAUAGAGCAGUGAACAAAGCAGUUUCUGCCCUCAUGGAGCUUACAUCCUAAUGAGAGAGCCUGAUAACAAGCAAGUGUAUUCAUAAUUGCUCAUUGAAGCAGUUUUAUGAUGGGUAGCUGAAAUACAACAUCAUAAUUUUUACUGGAAAAUAGCCACAAUGAAGGAACACCACAAUUUCACCAUGAAAACCAGCACAACCUUACACAGAUGACAAACAUUUCCCCUCAAAACUUGUUAAACUGUAUUUGGGCUGACCAAAUUAACCAGAGUUAUUCUAUUUAUGGGGGAGCAGGAAGUAACUUGAUAAAAUGCUUUGAGUUUAUAUAUCAUGUCAAAUAAAUAGCAUAAUUUUAAAGGAAAAAAACUUGUUAGGCAAUGUUCUCUUAUUUUCUGACAUCACAUAUUGUGACAGAAUGUAAGGCCAACCUGGUUUUUACAAAUUCCGUGGUCUAAUUUUUUUGUUGUUGUUAGUGUAUAAAAAUAGCA